GACAUCAAAAGCAAUGACAUAAACUUGGAUGACAGUGACAUCAAGUCAUUUUCUGAUCGAGGUGUUCAAACGGAUCCAGAUUUUGUACACUUAGAGUGUGAACAACUGGCUCAGGAAUUGAAUAAAUGCUCUAAGGAUUUGGAGAAUGCACGUUGGAAUACAGAUAAAAUCAAAGACAAUGAUUCAAAAACAAAAUUCUAUACUUGACUACCAACUUAUGCUGUUUUUCUUUGGCUGUUCAAUUUUCUGAAGCCUAAAGCAGAGAGGAUGGUGUACUGGACCGGUCCUUACAAGACAGCAGGGAACCAAGAGAGGACAAGAGCAAGUACUGGCUCCUUAAGACUAAUAGACCAACUGUCUGCUGUUUUAGCUAGACUGAGGCUUGAACUGUUUACGCAAGAUAUAG